AUUGAACGCUAGCGGGAUGCUUUACACAUGCAAGUCGAACGGCAGCGCGGACUUCGGUCUGGCGGCGAGUGGCGAACGGGUGAGUAAUGUAUCGGAACGUGCCCAGUAGCGGGGGAUAACUACGCGAAAGCGUAGCUAAUACCGCAUACGCCCUACGGGGGAAAGCAGGGGAUCGUAAGACCUUGCACUAUUGGAGCGGCCGAUAUCGGAUUAGCUAGUUGGUGAGGUAACGGCUCACCAAGGCGACGAUCCGUAGCUGGUUUGAGAAGACGACCAGCCACACUGGGACUGAGACACGGCCCAGACUCCUACGGGAGGCAGCAGUGGGGAAUUUUGGACAAUGGGGGCAACCCUGAUCCAGCCAUCCCGCGUGUGCGAUGAAGGCCUUCGGGUUGUAAAGCACUUUUGGCAGGAAAGAAACGUCGCGGGCUAAUACCCCGUGGAACUGACGGUACCUGCAGAAUAAGCACCGGCUAACUACGUG
rnacentral:rRNA from 1 species